rnacentral:lncRNA from 1 species
AACACCUCUAUUUCCUGGGGGAAAGGAAUCUGACAGCUCCAGAUGGCGACCCAUGGAAGGCUGGAUACGCUCCUUGCAUCCUUCUCCUUCAUGACGGAUUUGAACGUCUCGACUGGACUUGAUUAUCUCGAUUUGAAGCCCAAAUCCCUUCUCAAGACUCAGCACAAAAGGAGAGAGGAACCCCAGACAUACCCGAAGCCUGGGGACUUUUUACUCAAGGAGUCAGACAAGAACUGGAAAUCCCAUGGACUGGAGAGGAAAGGCUUGUUGCCAGCCCGCGGAGGAGUGGGACCCUCUCCCUGUUCUAUGCCAAAGGUACAGAAGUUCAUGGAGUUCCCAUUGUGGCACAGUGGAAAUGAAUCCGACUAGGAACCAUGAGGUUUGGGCUUUGAUUCUUGACCUCACUCGGUGGGUUAAAGAUCUGGUGUUGCUGUGAGCUGUGGUGUAGGUUGCAGAUGAAGCUUGGAUCUGGUGCUGUGGCUGUGGCGUAGGCCGGCAGCUGUAGCUCCAAUUGGACCCCUAGCCUGGGAACCUCCAUAUGCCAUAGGGUGUGGCUCUAAAAAUUAAAAAAAAAAAAAAAAAAGGUACAGGAGUUCAGGUACUUGAAAGGUUCCUGUUGGCUGGUAUAAGAACACCUGGCAACCCUAACAAGGUCUGGAGGCCGCCUUGAAAGAGUAAGCCAACAAAAUCCUGGAUGGAAGAUUGGAACUUGCAGGGAGGCAGACUUC